rnacentral:rRNA from 1 species
AGCGAACGCUGGCGGCAGGCCUAACACAUGCAAGUCGAACGAAGUCUUCGGACUUAGUGGCGGACGGGUGAGUAACACGUGGGAACGUGCCCUUUGGUACGGAAUAACUCAGGGAAACUUGAGCUAAUACCGUAUGUGCCCUUCGGGGGAAAGAUUUAUCGCCAUUGGAGCGGCCCGCGUCUGAUUAGCUAGUUGGUGGUGUAAUGGACCACCAAGGCGACGAUCAGUAGCUGGUCUGAGAGGAUGAUCAGCCACAUUGGGACUGAGACACGGCCCAAACUCCUACGGGAGGCAGCAGUGGGGAAUCUUGCGCAAUGGGCGAAAGCUUGACGCAGCCAUGCCGCGUGAAUGAUGAAGGUCUUAGGAUUGUAAAAUUCUUUCACCGGGGACGAUAAUGACGGUACCCGGAGAAGAAGCCCCGGCUAACUUCGUGCCAGCAGCCGCGGUAAAAC